UUCCCUCAGCACAGCGCUGCACGGCCGCUUCCCGCGCUUUUUCCUCAGCGCGGUGCUGCGCCGCCGCUUCCCGCCCUUUUCUCUCAGCACAGCGCUGCACGGCCGCUUCGCGCCCUUUUCUCUCAGCACAGCGCUGCACGGCCGCUUCCCGCCCUUUUCUCUCAGCGCAGCGCUGCACGGCCGCUUCCCGCCCUUUUCCCUCAGCCGUUGCUCCCUCGCCUCGCGCCGCGACCCCCCCCGGCGCUCCCUCACGGGGACGCGCGCUGCUGCCCACGCUUGAGCACGGGCACCUGGCGCAGAAGUGGAAAAACAAAACAAAGCACGGUAUCAUUUUGGAAAUAUUUUUAUAAGGUGCUGCAGCAAAUCCUGAAAAGACUUGCAAAUAAUUGCAUGGCUCUUUUCAAGAUAAGAAGGGAAAGAGACGAUGAACUCCGUUUUCAUCUGAGGUGCACAUUAGGAAAGGCAAUUCCAGCUGAAAUUCGAAUGAACAGAAGAGUAGCGGACUAAUCCAAGAGAAAGGGGCCGUGACUUUCACAAAAUCAGCCAGCAGCUCAGUGACACAGGCUACUAGAACUUAUUCCAUUUGGAAAAUCUCUGGAAGAUUGAACUUGGAGUACAGGGCUGAACUGAAAACUGGUGACAAGCAGGAUCUGAGCUACCAGGACAGCAAAGGACAGGUUGGCAUGGAUAUGAUAGCGCUGGUUGCGGAUGGUGCUCACAGACCUGGCAGAAGACAGAAAGGAAUACAAGAAAAAUACAACAAUACAGCUGCAUUUGGAUGAAGGGCUCUGACUACAAUCAGGACUCUAAUAGCCACAGGUAAACUGAACUGGAGAGGAUCCUAAAGAGUUCCGAAGACUGUUAUCCUCUUCUCAAAACUGACUGGAAAACCAGUGCAACACCUUCAGAUGAAAUUAAUACAAGCAUUUUUCACUUUUGUCCUGUAUUGAGGAACAGUAAUCAGAAAUAAGGUGUCUCAAGAUAAUUCAUACACCGACUGAGCUGUAUAGCAGAACUAUACCCUUUAACAGAAGGAAUUUGAUCUUCCCCAAGAGAAGCAGUUCCAGAUUGUUCAGCUACAUGGUGGGGGGAGCUUGUGGCCUUUGUUUUCCUAAACGUCCUCCUUAGCACCAGAUAUGCUGAUGAAAGCAGAACAUCUACUGGUUUCCACUGACAGAUUUAGCUGUAUAGUCUAAUUGCUAUGAGUUAGAACAAAUUUUAGGAAUUGUGACUACUCAAACCUGAGCAGAAGUGGGCUGUCCAAAGCAAUCACAUUUUGUAUUAACGUUAGGUCUAUUUUAAAGGUAUAGCUUUAAUAAUGUAGGAAAACAUGAACUGCAAUUUCUUAAUAUCUUUUUAGCUGCAAGAAACCCUUUAUCCUAAAAAUAAAUAAUUCAAUGAGCUGUGCUAGAAGAAAUUGAUAAUCUUCUGUACCCAGGGAAGUUUUAGAAGGUAGAUACAGAUACAUAAAUUCUACUGUGAAUACAACAUUAUGGCAUAAGAUCCUAUUCGUUUCAUUUAAUCUUUUCCUUUUUGGUGGAGAACAAAGUAAGCACUUAUAAAAAUCAGCAUUUUUCACUCACAUUUCAAUCGGAUUUAGUGAUUUUUAGGAGGUGUUUUCUGGCUCUUCCUUAGUAUCCCUGCCCUCAAAUUAAAAUGUACUGAAAGUAUCAAGUAUCCUCUUUCCUUCUCCCCUCCUCAUCCACAUUCAUACAAUGAACUUCCCCAGAUUUGUUCCAAAAAAUGAUCUCUGUAAACUCCUUGAACUCCCUGACUGCAUUCUUGAAUGCUUUUCAUAAAACACCAUUGAGAUACAGCCCCAUCCAUCCCCUCGACAAAGCAUGAACUAGAAAAAAAGAUGACUAGCUAGCUUGAAGAAAAUCUCUCUGCAUGUCAUGUCUUUGUUCUUCUAAUGGAUAUUUAAUAUUAAGUUUGAAUUGAUCUAACAAAGCGCGACUUAAACUCCCUGAAACUCUUACCAGUGAAUAAUCUUAAUUAAGACAAAUAAAGAACAAGUGCAUCUCCAGGUGUUGGAGCAAAAAACUUCUAACCCUUCUGGACUCUCCAAGUGAAGCGAAGCAAACUUAUACAGUUAUACUAUCUGUGCAGUUCUUUGUCCUACAACCAGUUCUUCUUUUCCCAAGCAACCUUUCAAGAGCCUCCGAAACAAAGAAGAAAAUUUUCCUAAAUACCACUUCAACUGUUGGGCACCAUACAAAAGCUCCCAAACCCUUGAGCAAAUGUGGUGUGCAAAUUAAAACAAAUCACAAAUAGUGUCCUUUGCCACUUAGAGUUUUUCUUUACUCUAAAGAGAUAUUUAAACUGCUUGCCCACUUGACAACUAUUCUAUCAUUUUGUUACUUUGGAUACGAGUUAGGUUUCGUUAGCAUGGAAUUGCAGGGGCAAAAAUUUUAUGUGGCCUUAGCUUUCUAGUCCCAACCAUGGAGCUAUGAACUCUUUUGAUGUCUCUCAUCCUCAUAGUAUGGUUUCAGGGCUGCAGUGUGGAGAGGAGCCUAAGACUGAGUAGGAGCACAAAACUGACAAAAUUCCUGAACAUCACAAUAAACAAUUGCAGAUCUGAAAGCGCAGAACGAUAGGAAGCUUUGCAUUUCGUGAGAAUGAAUGAACUACUCCGAUUCUCUUCCAAACUGAGUAGUACCGAAGAUAUCUAACAAACUAUUCCUAAUCGACCAGGUACUACAACUGGCCUACCUGACUAGGAAUGUUUGCUGUUGACACAGGUUUUCCCACAGAGAGGGAACGUGAGUGUAAACAGAUGAGAUAGGGAUGGGUUUAGAGAAAUGGAUGAGGUUCUGUGGUCACAUUUCCUUUGGAUACUUGAAAAAUCCAAAGAAAAGUAUGGUUGCUAACAAAAGGAGAAAGCUACUGACAAGGUAGUAGAAUAAUGACAUAGAAUAAGCAUGCACAAAGCCAAAUCUGAGAAUUCCGGGCAGUUCAAACUCAACCAAGCUGUGUGUGGAAAGGCAUGCUGAGGGAGGAGGGUGUAGGAACAAGCUUUCAUUUACAUAAGCUAAAUCUGGAUAUGUGUUCAGUUCUAUCUUCAAAGAGUACAUGCUAGCUGCUGCGAAAGAAAUUAAAGUGAUGAUUUCUGUGAUAUUAAGAGCAUCCACAUUGGUAGCCUGUGCUAAAGGACUUCCAUACCACUCUCAAACUAUCUGUUCUAUUUUGCAGAGCACAGAACAUGCCUGCUGUUUCACAGUGUGCUUAUCUGGAAAUAACUCUUGCUUCCAUUAACAUUUACUCUUCAUAUCAGGGGGGAAAAAAAAGAUUAAAGUUAACAGAAGUGUUAGAAAAAUAUAGCAAAACAGAAAA